rnacentral:rRNA from 1 species
ACAGUCACUGACAUUAGAUACCCCGGUAGUCCUAGCCGUAAACGAUACUCGCUAGGUGUCGGCCACGGUGCGACCGUUGUCGGUGCCGUAGGGAAGCCGUGAAGCGAGCCACCUGGGAAGUACGGCCGCAAGGCUGAAACUUAAAGGAAUUGGCGGGGAGCACCACAAGAGGUGGAGGCUGCGGUUCAAUUGGACUCAACGCCGGAAAACUCAUCGGGAGCGACAGCAGUAUGAUUGCCAGGUUGAUGACCUUGCUUGACAAGCUG